rnacentral:rRNA from 1 species
AUGUGGUUUAAUUCGAUGAUACGCGAGGAACCUUACCUGGGCUCAAAUGUAUGUUGACGUAUUCUGAAAGGGAUACUUCUUCGGACAAUAUACAAGGUGCUGCAUGGUUGUCGUCAGCUCGUGCCGUGAGGUGUCGGGUUAAGUCCCAUAACGAGCGCAACCCCUAUCAUUAGUUGCCAUCAGGUCAAGCUGGGGACUCUAAUGAAACUGCCUACGCAAGUAGUGAGGAAGGUGGGGAUGACGUCAAAUCAGCACGGCCCUUACGUCCAGGGCUACACACGUGCUACAAUGGCCGGUACAAAGGGCAGCUACCUGGUGACAGGAUGCUAAUCUCAAAAGCCGGUCUCAGUUCGGAUUGCAGUCUGCAACUCGACUGCAUGAAGUUGGAAUCGCUAGUAAUCGCGGAUCAGAACGCCGCGGUGAAUACGUUCUCGGGGUUU